rnacentral:misc_RNA from 1 species
GAAAUGCGAUACGUAUUGUGAAUUGCAGAUCAGUGAACCAUCGAAUCUUUGAACGCACCUUGCGGCCGCUGGCACUCCAGCGGCCACGCCCGUUCGAGCGUCAUCUCAACCCUCGGGCCUCCGCGCCCGGCCUUGGGUAUCCAGGCUGGCCCUGGCGCCCCAAUUCCAACGGCGGUAGCGUCCCGUAGGCUCUGCGUAGUUCAGCUCUCGCAGCGGCCCCGGGCGCUCCCUGCCCCACCUCGUCUCGUUUGACCUCGAAUCGGGCGGGAGUACCCGCUGAACUUAA